rnacentral:rRNA from 1 species
UACAGAGGGUGCGAGCGUUAAUCGGAAUUACUGGGCGUAAAGCGUGCGUAGACGGUUAUUUAAGUCGGGUGUGAAAGCCCCGGGCUCAACCUGGGAAUUGCAUUCGAGACUGAAUAGCUAGGGUACGGUAGAGGGAAGUGGAAUUUCCGGUGUAGCGGUGAAAUUCGUAGAUAUUCGCAAGAACACCAGUGGCGAAGGCGGCUCACUGGCCCGAUACUGACGCUGAGGUGCGAAAGCGUGGGGAGCAAACAGGG